AGAGUUUGAUCAUGGCUCAGGAUGAAUGCUAGCUACAGGCUUAACACAUGCAAGUCGAGGGGAAACGACAUCGAAAGCUUGCUUUUGAUGGGCGUCGACCGGCGCACGGGUGAGUAACGCGUAUCCAACCUGCCCACCACUUGGGGAUAACCUUGCGAAAGUAAGACUAAUACCCAAUGAUAUCUCUAGAAGACAUCUGAAAGAGAUUAAAGAUUUAUCGGUGAUGGAUGGGGAUGCGUCCGAUUAGCUUGUUGGCGGGGUAACGGCCCACCAAGGCAACGAUCAGUAGGGGUUCUGAGAGGAAGGUCCCCCACAUUGGAACUGAGACACGGUCCAAACUCCUACAGGAGGCAGCA
rnacentral:rRNA from 1 species